UACGUAGGGGGCAAGCGUUGUCCGGAUUCAUUGGGCGUAAAGAGCGUGUAGGCGGCCAGAUAGGUCAGCUGUGAAAACUCGAGGCUCAACCUCGAGAGGUCGGUUGAAACCGUAAGGCUAGAGUCCGGAAGAGGAGAGUGGAAUUCCCGGUGUAGCGGUGAAAUGCGCAGAUAUCAGGAAGAACACCCGUGGCGAAGGCGGUUCUCUGGGACGGUACUGACGCUGAGACGCGAAAGCGUGGGGAGCGAACAGG
rnacentral:rRNA from 1 species